UUGGCCGGGGGCCUCCUAUACAUGCAGUCGAGCGGAUCUUCAUUAGCUUGCUUUUGAAGAUCAGCGGCGGACGGGUGAGUAACACGUGGGCAACCUGCCUGUAAGACUGGGAUAACUUCGGGAAACCGGAGCUAAUACCGGAUAAUCCUUUCCCUCACAUGAGGGAAAGCUGAAAGACGGUUUCGGCUGUCACUUACAGAUGGGCCCGCGGCGCAUUAGCUAGUUGGUGAGGUAACGGCUCACCAAGGCAACGAUGCGUAGCCGACCUGAGAGGGUGAUCGGCCACACUGGGACUGAGACACGGCCCAGACUCCUACGGGAGGCAGCAGUAGGGAAUCUUCCGCAAUGGACGAAAGUCUGACGGAGCAACGCCGCGUGAACGAUGAAGGCUUUCGGGUCGUAAAGUUCUGUUGUUAGGGAAGAACAAGUACCGGAGUAACUGCCGGUACCUUGACGGUACCUAACCAGAAAGCCACGGCUAACUACGUGCCAGCAGCCGCGGUAAUACGUAGGUGGCAAGCGUUGUCCGGAAUUAUUGGGCGUAAAGCGCGCGCAGGCGGUUCCUUAAGUCUGAUGUGAAAGCCCCCGGCUCAACCGGGGAGGGUCAUUGGAAACUGGGGAACUUGAGUGCAGAAGAGGAGAGCGGAAUUCCACGUGUAGCGGUGAAAUGCGUAGAGAUGUGGAGGAACACCAGUGGCGAAGGCGGCUCUCUGGUCUGUAACUGACGCUGAGGCGCGAAAGCGUGGGGAGCGAACAGGAUUAGAUACCCUGGUAGUCCACGCCGUAAACGAUGAGUGCUAAGUGUUAGAGGGUUUCCGCCCUUUAGUGCUGCAGCAAACGCAUUAAGCACUCCGCCUGGGGAGUACGGCCGCAAGGCUGAAACUCAAAGGAAUUGACGGGGGCCCGCACAAGCGGUG
rnacentral:rRNA from 1 species